rnacentral:lncRNA from 1 species
UAAACAGAAAAAGUUGAUAAUCUAUGUAUUGCUUGUUUUUAAAGAAAAGAUGGAAGCAUAUCACUUUUUGUUAAAUGCAUCUAUUGUGCAUUACACCCCUAGUAUAGAGAAAGCCCAUAUCAAGUCCAAGCAACAAUGAACAAAUAUAGUCAGAGCGUGUGGGAGCAGCUACCUAUAAAGAUUCUGUCCUCCCAGAGAACAUCCCAGGCAUGGAAGUGACACACUGCCUACCAACUGCCUACAUUUGAUUUUAUGAACAUCCUCUUUUCUUGUAUUGGAGUCUCUACAAUGUACUUUUUAUGGUGAUCCUAACAGUUUUCUCAAGGACAGACAUAAUGGAGAAUCUGCCCUAAUCUACCUCUACAUGACAACAGCUUGACCCUAGCAACUAACACAAUCCAUCACCUGCUGUCGAGCAACCAAGAGCAAGAAAAGAAGUGGUUAGAAAAGGUACCACCAGCUCUGGAGCUUUUAUGGUCAGUAAAGUAUGGAAGAACCAAAAUAGGCUCUCAAAGUAAAUCAGAGCACAGCAAAUACUUCUCUAAACCAAGUUCUGAUUUUAUACUAUAGGAGAGAAAAAAAAUGUUACAUUUGAAUAUAUUUUAUGACACUGUAAGUUAUGCCUAACUGAGAGAAAAAUGUAUUUAAUAAUUUUUUGCAGUAAUCAAUAUAUAACUUAAGAUUCAGAAAUAUUUCCUUUGAAUACCUUAUUUUCCUUAAAA